AUAAGGCCUGAAUAGGUUAGAGGGGACUGAUGAAGUUGCGUCUCCUCAGCUCUCAGGCCAAGAUGU
rnacentral:snoRNA from 1 species